UACGUAGGGGGGCUAGCGUUGUCCGGAUUUAUUGGGCGUAAAGAGCGUGUAGGCGGCCAGGUAGGUCUGGUGUGAAAACUCGAGGCUUAACCUCGAGAUGUCAUCGGAAACCAUCUGGCUAGAGUCCGGAAGAGGAGAGUGGAAUUCCUGGUGUAGCGGUGAAAUGCGCAGAUAUCAGGAAGAACACCCAUGGCGAAAGCAGCUCUCUGGGACGGUACUGACGCUGAGACGCGAAAGCGUGGGGAGCGAACAGG
rnacentral:rRNA from 1 species